GCGCCUGUGGCGGAAUUGGUAGACGCGCAAGGUUGAGGGCCUUGUGGACCUUAUGGUCCGUGGGAGUUCGAGUCUCCCUGGGCGCA
rnacentral:tRNA from 2 species